UGGGGAAUAUUGGACAAUGGGCGAAAGCCUGAUCCAGCCAUGCCGCGUGUGUGAAGAAGGUCUUCGGAUUGUAAAGCACUUUAAGUUGGGAGGAAGGGCAUUAACCUAAUACGUUAGUGUUUUGACGUUACCGACAGAAUAAGCACCGGCUAACUCUGUGCCAGCAGCCGCGGUAAUACAGAGGGUGCAAGCGUUAAUCGGAAUUACUGGGCGUAAAGCGCGCGUAGGUGGUUUGUUAAGUUGGAUGUGAAAUCCCCGGGCUCAACCUGGGAACUGCAUUCAAAACUGACUGACUAGAGUAUGGUAGAGGGUGGUGGAAUUUCCUGUGUAGCGGUGAAAUGCGUAGAUAUAGGAAGGAACACCAGUGGCGAAGGCGACCACCUGAACUAAUACUGACACUGAGGUGCGAAAGCGUGGGGAGCAAACA
rnacentral:rRNA from 1 species